UGCCAAUAGACAUUACAUCAAUAUUCUUUAAUUUUUUGCGUUGCCAAUCCCAUGCAUCAUGCCAAUUAUAUUAUUAUCGUCGUCUGUGUAUAUAACAAUCCAAAUAACAACACAAUCACAAUGUAAUAUCCAUCUAAGGAUAAGCGCUUACCAUUACACCAAAAAUUAUAAUUAGUAGCCAAGAUUUGACCCUUCACGAGAUUCCGCUCCAGAUCAGAGAUUAUGAGGAUCCUAUAUGUCUCCCUGCUUACUGCAAUCAUUCUUCUUAGCCUCACAGCCGAGAAAUGCCGGCAACUAGUCGGAGGAAAUUUGGCGGCGGC